rnacentral:misc_RNA from 1 species
GGGAGCUUCGCCCCAUGCGUUCUGUACGGCAGCAAUGUCGAGAGGAUCGGAUUGUCGGGGUCUGGGUCCUUCGCGAACAACUGCUUGCCCUACACUGGUCUGUACAUGCUUGGGAAUUCUCUGUUCGGUUGGAAUUGCCUGGCGCCUUGGUUCUCUUACCCCAGCCGUACUGCUCUUCGCCGCAAAUUCAAUCUCGAAGGUAGCUGUGAAGCCCUGACAAGGUCCUGUGGAUGCUGCCAUGGUGUGAUAGAGGAUGAAGUACAGCGUGAGGCGCUAGAGUCGGCCUGUGAUUUUGCAACACAUUUCUUCUGCCAUACAUGCUCCCUCUGCCAG